rnacentral:rRNA from 1 species
CAAUAGCGUAUAUUAAAGUUGUUGCAGUUAAAAAGCUCGUAGUUGGAUUUCUGGUGGGAGCGAUCGGUCUGGCGCUUAGCGCGAGUACUUGCAUCGUCUCCGGCCAUCCUUGGGGAGAGUCUGUCUGGCAUUAAGUUGUCGGGCAGAGGAUCCUCAUCGUUUACUGUGAAAAAAUUAGAGUGUUCAAAGCAGGCUUAUGCCGUUGAAUAUAUUAGCAUGGAAUAAUAAGAUAGGACUUUGGUACUAUUUUGUUGGUUUGCGCACCAAAGUAAUGAUUAAUAGGGACAGUUGGGGGUAUUCGUAUUCCGUUGUCAGAGGUGAAAUUCUUGGAUUUACGGAAGACGAACUACUGCGAAAGCAUUUACCAAGGAUGUUCUCAUUAA